CGCUGUUUUUGCUUCUGCAACCU
rnacentral:snRNA from 1 species